UCCGGCUUAUCACCGGCAGUUUCCUUAGAGUGCCCGACAUAACUCGCUGGUAACUAAGGAUAAGGGUUGCGCUCGUUGCGGGACUUAACCCAACAUCUCACGACACGAGCUGACGACAGCCAUGCAACACCUGUAAUGGUCCGGCCGAACCGACUCGUAGAUCUCUCUACAAAUUAACCAUCAUGUCAAGGCCUGGUAAGGUUUUUCGCGUAGCAUCGAAUUAAACCACAUGUUCCACUGCUUGUGCGGGUCCCCGUCAAUUCCGUUUGAGUUUUAAUCUUGCGAUCGUACUUCCCAGGCGGAGUGCUUAACGCGUUAACUACGACACCGAGGACAUAAGCCCCGAUAUCUAGCACUCAUCGUUUAGGGCGUGGACUAC
rnacentral:misc_RNA from 1 species